UACAGGGGGGGCAAGCGUUGUUCGGAAUUACUGGGCGUAAAGGGCUCGUAGGUGGCCAACUAAGUCAGACGUGAAAUCCCUCAGCUUAACUGGGGAACUGCGUCUGAUACUGGAUGGUUUGAGUUUGGGAGAGGGAUGCGGAAUUCCAGGUGUAGCGGUGAAAUGCGUAGAUAUCUGGAGGAACACCGGUGGCGAAGGCGGCAUCCUGGACCAAUACUGACACUGAGGAGCGAAAGCCAGGGGAGCAAACGGG
rnacentral:rRNA from 1 species